AAAGGUGCAUGAGUGGUGUUUGGUUUGUUACGGGUGGUUGGCUCUUUGCUUGUGCAACAACUUCCACCUGGCAUACCUCUUCAGUCUUGUGUCAAUGCUUGUAUCGCAUUGAAUGCACGGUGGGUUUCUUGUGUUGCAUGCCUAAUUGAUGGUAUCAUUUGAUGAAUCGAUGUCUAUUUCGUCUUGUGUCGCACAUGCGAUGUGAGAUGAACCUUAAAGCGGCCUUUGUGAUCCACUCUUUUGAUGCACACGCAUUGAUUUUGUGGCCCAUUGAGUGUUGCUUGGUCUCAUGGAUAUGGAACCUUGUGUGGGCAUGGGAUCUUUUACUAGUUCCUUGUUUGCCCUAGUCUUUUCAAAUACGAUUUCCUAUCAUGUCUUAACGUGGUAGG
rnacentral:misc_RNA from 1 species